ensembl:misc_RNA Metazoa_SRP Metazoan signal recognition particle RNA
GCCAGGCGUGGUGGUGGACGCCUGUAAUCCCAACUACUUGGGAGGCUGAGGCAGGAGAAUUGCUUGAACCUGGGAGGCGGAGGUUGCAGUGAGUUGAGAUUGUGCCACUGCACUCCAGCCUGGGUAACCGAGUAAGAUCCUGUCUCAC